UACGGGGGGGGCAAGCGUUGCUCGGAAUUACUGGGCGUAAAGGGCGCGUAGGCGGCUCACUAAGUCGGAUGUGAAAUCUCCUGGCUCAACUGGGAGCUUGCAGGCGAAACUGCCGUGCUGGAGUGUGGGAGAGGUGCGUGGAAUUCCUGGUGUAGCGGUGAAAUGCGUAGAUAUCAGGAGGAACACCUGUGGCGAAAGCGGCGCACUGGACCACAACUGACGCUGAGGCGCGAAAGCUAGGGGAGCAAACAGG
rnacentral:rRNA from 1 species